UACACUGUCUGCUGUUACUGGUUUCAAUCCAGUGCACAACAGAUCGAAAAUGGUCUGAACAGAUUUUCAAGUGCACAACAGAUCAAAACCAUGAAGGAGUGGAUAGGCAGAAUGAGAAAGUAGAAUAUUGAGUGCAAUAUCUGCAAAACUGCUCUCACUGUGCAAUUCCUUGAGCGUGUGUAUCAGCCACCUUUAUGUAUGCACACACCAUUUGUGCACGCAGUUCUGUGGUUUUAGUUCUCUCACACCGGGAGUGGAUGCACUUCAGGAGUCGGACAUGGCGUGCUGUGCAGCUUGAAUAACCAUGGCGUGGCUUUUCUCUUGGACACGGAUGGAGAGCACCAUCUUUUCAUCAAAACACACCCCUGGCUUCUUUUAUUUCCAAACAAAACCUUCUCAGCGCUGUGGAUUUUACAGUUGAGGUGGUGUUGAAAGACCAGUGACACAUUCUCUUCAUGGAGAUCACAGCUUCCUCUGAAGACCGACACCAAGUUGCAAAUUUAGCUCAGAGAGCUUUUUUACCAUUUCUCUUGCAAAGGACAUCUCUGUUUGACCCUCCAGCUCCUGUUGUAUUGCUGAAGGAUGCUCCACACCUUUCCCACAUCCUGUGGCACAGCAGGAGUAGCAGAGAAGAGAAGGCUUGAUUGUCAACAUUGCUCAAGCAACAUUUGUUGUCCUGAGGUGCUGACUCCAGUGGAAGAGAUUUUAGUGGAAGCUUCUCCUGCAGUGUGCUUCAUUUCAGGGCGACCUGGAGCUCAAGAGGAGCAGUGUUCUCCAGACAGCUCUCCACGUCUUCCCUAACACCAGCGAGCCACGAGACCGAGGCAGAAAUUCCAGUGUGGGGAGGGUGUGAGUCAUGAGAUGCCUUUUGCAUUACACUCUCCUGAUUGCCUUCCUCCUGCAAACAAUGACCAUCAGGAAGACCCUGCUGCAGAUUCUGAAACCAAACCAGCCUAUUCCUUGUUCUCAGGUCAUCUUGGGUUGGAAGCUGCUGAAAAACUUCCUUCUGGAUAAAUAACUGUGAUGUCCCCAUCAUCCCCAGAAUUGGAUUUCUUCACUGGGAUUGCUGAAACACUGCUGUGCUCUGAGGUUUCUCUCAUAGAGGAAUUGUUCAGCUUCACAACAGGAGUGAGAAUAGUUUAAAUGCUUUGGGGCUCACUCCCAGGCACAAGACUUUAUUAUUUGAGCUUUUGUUUGGAAAUAAAUUCAGUUCUUGUCAUAGAUUGGGCAUCUUCUCCCGUGGUUCUUACAUAUCAAACUUUCUCAUCUUUCUGGAAGAAGAUUCAAGUGUUUGUUCUCUUUCUUUUAUUGGCACUCAUCUUUGUUUAUUUAUUUUGUAUUCUUGAGAUGUGCUGCAUCUCUGGAGUUUGUAUUUCUACUUUUAGCAUAAAAAUGC